AAGAAUGAAGAAAAGCUGUCCAUCUUCUGAGAAGGAAGCAGCAUGUGCCAUCCUUCUGUCAGAAAACACCAAAGAGAUGAAGAAAUGAGAAAUCCAGAAACCAAAGACCUUGCUCUUUUGUCAAACAGACUUGGUAGAGCAGAGUUGCAAAAUCAGACCUUUGGGGGCUUGCGUGUUUCUCCUCUUACUCCCUGGUCCCUGCCUUGAACUUCAGGCUGCCUGGCUUGGAUCCUGAUGCUGCUUUGCUGACACAAUCCAUUCUCCCAGGGAACACCCAGAGUUCCACUCCAGCCCUGGCAACGCUGCAGCAGAGUAGGCCAACUGUACGGAAAGUCUACAUUGGCUCGGAACAAUUGAGGCUGGGAGAGGCUGGUGAUUUCCUGCUUGGUCGUCUUUUAAAACCCAGCCAUCUGAAUCCGAGAGUUGCUUCUUCAGCAAGGCCUCCCCUGACUCCUUCAGAUGUCUAAGCACCACCCCUACUCUUCUGCUGCAGCAUCUCCACUUGCUUUUGUCCUUCAUCUCCCUGAAAUUAUUUGCUUACUCAUCCAUCCAUGUCAGUUGCAAAAGCAUGACUUCCUCUAGUCCAAAGGCCAUUCAUGUUCAAUAUGUUAGCACUCGGAGCGUCUCCAGUGGUUGUUUCAAACAAGGCAAAUGAGUUCAGUUGAACUUUAUAUGUUCUGCCCUCCGACUGUGACUGUUAUUUACUUCCCUCCAAACAAAAUGUAAUAAUAAAAUGACUAACUGAACACUGCCCUUUA
rnacentral:lncRNA from 1 species